rnacentral:sRNA from 1 species
UUUAAUUUUUUGAGACGGAGUCUUGCUCUGUCGCCCAGGCUGGCGUGCAGUGGUGUGAUCUUGGCUCACUGCAACCUCUACCUCCUGGGUUCAAGCGAUUCUCCUGCCUCAGCCUCCCAAGUAGCUGGGAAUACAGGUGCCCACCACCACGCCAAGUUAAGUUUGUUUGUUUGUUUGUUUGUUUUUGUAUUUUUAGUAGAGACAGGGUUUCACUAUAUGUUGGCAGGCUGCUCUCAAACUCCUGAACUCAAGUGAUCCACCCACUGCAGCCUCCCAAAGUGCUGGGAUUACAGGCGUGAGCCACCAUGCCCAGCCUUUCCUGACUUUAAACUAAAGGAGUGAGACUAGAAGGUCCCUGUGAUUCUGAAUUAUGUGGCUUCCUCUGGAAUUUCUAGGUUUUCCCCUUGAUCCCAGCAGGGUUGUACUGCCUAAGAGAGCUUGGAAAGGGAUAGAGAAGUCUGACCCAAAUUUGCGGAGCGACUGAGUGUAUGCUGCCCCCUUUCUGGGCCUUGGCUUCUUCCUCAAUCAUCUAGGCACAGUCCUAUGACUGCCUGUUUUUGAGGAUGUGGGAAGGGUCUACAAAUACAGUGCUUUCCCAUUGACACACACUGAUGAGGAUGCAGGCUCCCUGGCACCAGCAGUGAGGGCUCAGAUUGCAAGAGUAAAAACUUCCAUCACUGGGAAGAGAAGUCUGCAGGGGACUGGAGGUGAUCUGAAGAUUCUGAAAUAACUCUUCCUCUCUCUGCAGAGAAGGAUGGUGCUUCAUCCUGUUUAGGUAAGGGUGAUAGCCAAGUGUGUUCAGGGUGGCUGCACCAACCCACCCUGAGUCCCUGUGGCUCAAGACUGCUGCUCAGGUGGGGUCAGCUGAGUGGGUAGGAAGUCGGGAGGCACUGCCUAGCAGGUUUCAACUUUAGUCUGGAGGCUGCAUCUGUCUCCUCUAAACACAGUGGUUCUCAUUGGUUAUACCCCGAAAUCACACCAGGAAACUUUAAAACUAGUGACGACUGAGUCCUGUCUCCAGAAACUCUGACUUAAUUGUGGGGGUGUGGCCUGGACAUCAGGAUUUGUAAUAACUCCUCAGGUGAUUCUCAUGUAGUCAAGGUUGAGAACCACUGCUUUAACUUUCUCCAAAUCCUAAUUACUUCUAGUGUGGCCUGAGGACUGCACUUUGAAUGGCAAGGGCCAAAUAACCAAGUUUUUGUUUUUUUCCAGGAGGUGGAGAAGAAUUUGGGGUUGGGACUAGACUGGGGGUGAGCUGGGGAGAUGGAAGAUGGAAGUGGGGUCAGUGGGAGGCAAUGAUGGUAGGUAUCUUGGAAGAAGGAUGCUUAAUUUUAACACGGAAAGACUGGAAGAAGGGAAGAUACAAAGAGGUGGUCUCCAGAAGACAGUCAGACAAAUAACAGAGCCUUAGAAAUAAAACCUUUUGGGCUGGGCGGCCCAGGUUCUCAAUUGCUGCCUCUACAGGAAAGUCUUUGGGUUCGGAGGAUUCCAGAAACAUGAAGGAGAAGUUGGAGGACAUGGAGAGUGUCCUCAAGGACCUGACAGAGGAGAAGAGAAAAGAUGUGCUAAACUCCCUCGCUAAGUGCCUCGGCAAGGAGGAGAUUCGCCAGGAUCUAGAGCAAAGAGUAUCUGAGGUCCUGAUUUCCAGGGAGCUACACAUGGAGGACCCAGACAAGCCUCUCCUAAGCAGCCUUUUUAAUGCUGCUGGGGUCUUGGUAGAAGUGCGUGCAAAAGCCAUUCUGGACUUCCUGGAUGCCCUGCUAGAGCUGUCUGAAGAGCAGCAGUUUGUGGCUGAGGCCCUGGAGAAGGGGACCCUUCCUCUGUUGAAGGACCAGGUGAAAUCUGUCAUGGAGCAGAACUGGGAUGAGCUGGCCAGCAGUCCUCCUGACAUGGACUGUGACCCUGAGGCACGAAUUCUCUGUGCGCUGUAUGUUGUUGUCUCUGUCCUGCUGGAGCUGGCUGAGGGGCCUACCUCUGUCUCUUCCUAACUACAAAAGCCCUUUCUCCCCACAAGCCUCUGGGUUUUCCCUUUACCAGUCUGUCCUCACUGCCAUCGCCACUACCAUCCUGUCACCAGUGGGACCUCUUUAAAACAAGCAGCCAACCAUUCUUUGAUGUAUCCCAUUCGCUCCAUGUUAACAUCCAAAACCAGCCUGGAUUUCAUACAUGGACUUCUGAUUAAAAGUGGCAGGUUGUGCAUGUUAA